AGAGUUUGAUCCUGGCUCAGAACGAACGCUGGCGGCGUGGAUAAGACAUGCAAGUCGAGCGCUGAUCACAGGGUAGCAAUAUUCUGUGGUUGGAGCGGCGCAAGGGUGCGUAACACGUGGGUAAUCUGCCAUGAAGACUGGAAUAACUUGCUGAAAGGCGAGCUAAUACCGGAUGUGACGAUUGGAAGGCAUCUUCUGAUUUUCAAAGCUGGGGACCGUAAGGCCUGGCGCUUCAUGAUGAGCCCGCGGCCUAUCAGCUAGUUGGUGAGGUAACGGCUCACCAAGGCUAAGACGGGUAGCUGGUCUGAGAGGACGACCAGCCACACUGGAACUGAGACACGGUCCAGACACCUACGGGUGGCAGCAGUCGAGAAUUUUUCACAAUGGGCGCAAGCCUGAUGGAGCGACGCCGCGUGGGGGAUGAAUGGCUUCGGCCCGUAAACCCCUGUCAUUUGCGAACAAGUUGGUUCAGUUAAUAGCUGAACCAUUGAUAGUAGCGAAAGAGGAAGGGACGGCUAACUCUGUGCCAGCAGCCGCGGUAAUACAGAGGUCCCAAGCGUUGUUCGGAUUCACUGGGCGUAAAGGGUGCGUAGGUGGUGAGGUAAGUCGGAUGUGAAAUCUCCGAGCUCAACUCGGAAAUGGCAUUGGAAACUACCUUGCUCGAGGGUUGGAGGGGGGACUGGAAUGCUUGGUGUAGCAGUGAAAUGCGUAGAUAUCAAGCGGAACACCAGUGGCGAAGGCGAGUCCCUGGACAACUCCUGACACUGAGGCACGAAAGCUAGGGGAGCAAACAGGAUUAGAUACCCUAGUAGUCC
rnacentral:rRNA from 1 species